rnacentral:ncRNA from 1 species
GCGUCCGGCCACUCCACUCAAUGGCGCGGCGCACAUUCAAGAAGGAGGAAGCAAUCCCGCAGGCUCGCGGUGCGGCAGUGUGGAGACCUGCCGUAAUGCGGUUCGCGCCAUCGAGCGCGACGCGAGGUCGCCUUUGCGGAGGCUGGGCGAUCAGAGCCGAUCAUAUG